rnacentral:tRNA from 1 species
GGGGUUGUGACUCAAUGGUAGAGUGCUUGCCUAGCAUGCAUGAGGCACUGGGUUCAAUUCUCAGCACCA